rnacentral:rRNA from 1 species
UACCAAGGGUUCCUGUCCAACGUUAAUCGGGGCAGGGUGAGUCGACCCCUAAGGCGAGGCCGAAAGGCGUAGUCGAUGGGAAACAGGUUAAUAUUCCUGUACUUGGUGUUACUGCGAAGGGGGGACGGAGAAGGCUAUGUUGGCCGGGCGACGGUUGUCCCGGUUUAAGCGUGUAGGCUGGUUUUCCAGGCAAAUCCGGAAAAUCAAGGCUGAGGCGUGAUGACGAGGCACUACGGUGCUGAAGCAACAAAUGCCCUGCUUCCAGGAAAAGCCUCUAAGCAUCAGGUAACAUCAAAUCGUACCCCAAACCGACACAGGUGGUCAGGUAGAGAAUACCAAGGCGCUUGAGAGAACUCGGGUGAAGGAACUAGGCAAAAUGGUGCCGUAACUUCGGGAGAAGGCACGCUGAUAUGUAGGUGAGGUCCCUCGCGGAUGGAGCUGAAAUCAGUCGAAGAUACCAGCUGGCUGCAACUGUUUAUUAAAAACACAGCACUGUGCAAACACGAAAGUGGACGUAUACGGUGUGACGCCUGCCCGGUGCCGGAAGGUUAAUUGAUGGGGUUAGCGCAAGCGAAGCUCUUGAUCGAAGCCCCGGUAAACGGCGGCCGUAACGAUAACGGUCCUAAGGUAGCGAAAUUCCUUGUCGGGUAAGUUCCGACCUGCACGAAUGGCGUAAUGAUGGCCAGGCUGUCUCCGCCCGAGACUCAGUGAAAUUGAACUCGCUGUGAAGAUGCAGUGUACCCGCGGCAAGACGGAAAGACCCCGUGAACCUUUACUAUAGCUUGACACUGAACAUUGAGCCUUGAUGUGUAGGAUAGGUGGGAGGCUUUGAAGUGUGACGCCAGUCUGCAUGGAGCCGACCUUGAAAUACCACCCUUUAAUGUUUGAUGUUCUAACGUUGACCCGUAAUCCGGGUUGCGGACAGUGUCUGGUGGGUAGUUUGACUGGGGCGGUCUCCUCCUAAAGAGUAACGGAGGAGCACGAAGGUUGGCUAAUCCUGGUCGGACAUCAGGAGGUUAGUGCAAUGGCAUAAGCCAGCUUGACUGCGAGCGUGACGGCGCGAGCAGGUGCGAAAGCAGGUCAUAGUGAUCCGGUGGUUCUGAAUGGAAGGGCCAUCGCUCAACGGAUAAAAGGUACUCCGGGGAUAACAGGCUGAUACCGCCCAAGAGUUCAUAUCGACGGCGGUGUUUGGCACCUCGAUGUCGGCUUAUCAUAUCCUGGGGCUGAAGUAGGUCCCAAGGGUAUGGCUGUUCGCCAGUUAAAGUGGUACGCGAGCUGGGUUUAGAACGUCGUGAGACAGUUCGGUCCCUAUCUGCCGUGGGCGCUGGAGAACUGAGGGGGGCUGCUCCUAGUACGAGAGGACCGGAGUGGACGCAUCACUGGUGUUCGGGUUGUCAUGCCAAUGGCACUGCCCGGUAGCUAAAUGCGGAAGAGAUAAGUGCUGAAAGCAUCUAAGCACGAAACUUGCCCCGAGAUGAGUUCUCCCUGACUCCUUGAGAGUCCUGAAGGAACGUUGAAGACGACGACGUUGAUAGGCCGGGUGUGUAAGCGCAGCGAUGCGUUGAGCUAACCGGUACUAAUGAACCGUGAGGCUUAACCC